rnacentral:misc_RNA from 1 species
CAAGAAGCCGAAAGGCUACUUAAAAACUCAUCGCGAAACUGUAAUCUCAAGUUUGCUUCGGCGGCGCGGCUCCCCCUCACGGGGGACCGCAGCCACCGCCCUCUCAGGAGGGUAAGGGGCAGCCCGCCGGAGGUACGAAAGCUCUGUAUUAGAGUGGUAUCUCUGAGGUAUAAAACAAAUAAGUUA